AUUUUCUCAGUAACGUAGCUAACGCGNUGAAGUUGACCGCCUGGGGAGUACGGUCGCAAGAUUAAAACUCAAAGGAAUUGACGGGGACCCGCACAAGCGGUGGAUGAUGUGGAUUAAUUCGAUGCAACGCGAAAAACCUUACCUACCCUUGACAUGCCACUAACGAAGCAGAGAUGCAUUAGGUGCCCGAAAGGGAAAGUGGACACAGGUGCUGCAUGGCUGUCGUCAGCUCGUGUCGUGAGAUGUUGGGUUAAGUCCCGCAACGAGCGCAACCCUUGUCUCUAGUUGCUACGCAAGAGCACUCUAGAGAGACUGCCGGUGACAAACCGGAGGAAGGUGGGGAUGACGUCAAGUCCUCAUGGCCCUUAUGGGUAGGGCUUCACACGUCAUACAAUGGUGCGUACAGAGGGUUGCCAACCCGCGAGGGGGAGCUAAUCCCAGAAAACGCAUCGUAGUCCGGAUCGUAGUCUGCAACUCGACUACGUGAAGCUGGAAUCGCUAGUAAUCGCGGAUCAGCAUGCCGCGGUGAAUACGUUCCC
rnacentral:rRNA from 1 species